rnacentral:misc_RNA from 1 species
GAAUCGCAGCUAAAUUCGCUAAUUAUUUAGGUAGCCAACACUGCCGAAAAGCUUCUCCAAUCAGCGUGCUCCACAUCGCAAUUACACGCAAAUUUAUUUCGCCACUAUUGGUCGCAAUAUUGUUCCCUUACCCCACUGUCCUCGAAUAAUGUAACGCUUAGAAAAAUACAUCGCUGCAUAGCUUCUUACUGUACGCAUCUCUCUUUUAUUUCUCGCCAUAUUUCACCUACACUCAUCAUCAAAUCUAGCAAGCAGGCCACACAAUACGCUAACUUUCAAGUACUGGCGCAUCAAUCCGGUACAUGUGGUCCUUCGAGCCGGAUCCAAGUAUCAGCAUCCUACGGAAUACGUUCACCGCUGUGGCCGCUUUGCUAGCUCGAGAAGACUGGACUGGACUCAGGACUACCUGGAGGCUAAGCGCAAAAGGGAAUAGAUAACGGAUUGGGAGCUCAUCGGGCAUCACACGCACGCAAUCUGGUGGGACCAACCAUCCUUUCUUUUCUCCAUCACCUCCUUGUUCUCUUUGUGAUACCAGUGCUUCAACUGAUUUCAGUGCUCGCAUCAGUGUGCUGAACAAGUACAUUACGAGUGCGUACUUGUGGUCGUCGAUAUCGGUGCAGACGCGGUCUUCUGGCAUUCCAACCGUGAGUACUCCUAUUUUCACCGACCACCAAAAUGGCUACCGUAGAAAGUGCAAAGUCACGCGAUAAAUCUCCCCUAACAUUAGCUGUCGAUAGUGCUAAUUCUAAGUCUCGCGAUAGGUCCCCUAAUCUAGCAGUAGAUCAUAAUUUACUCCGAGAACUAGUGCGAAAACGUGGCAUCAUAAAGGGCAGACUCACCAAGUUCUCAAAUUAUUUAAAUUCAUUUGAAAAUAACGAUGACCUUUUUUCGUCCUCGCGCAUACGAAUUGAUUUAAAAUUACGCAUAAAAGGAGCUGCUAGUUUAUAUGCCGAGUUCAAUCAAGUUCAGGCUCAGAUAGAAGAAUGUGUAUCAGAUAGUGACAUGGCUGACCAGCUAGAUCAUAGAGAAGCGUUUGAAAAUUCUUAUUAUAGCAUAUUAGCCCAUGCGGAGUCCCUUCUGACCGAGACUGUUGAGGGCGAGGUUACAGACGCUAAACAUUGUUGUAGUGAACAACCGCAAUCCGUGAAACUUCCUACAAUAACACUGCCUAGCUUUGACGGUUCGUAUGAGCACUGGCUUGAAUUUCGCGACACUUUUCUCUCGCUGGUCCACAAUUCCAAACGCAUAAGUAAUAUCCAAAAAUUCCACUACUUAAAGUCCUCUCUAAAAGGUAAUGCCGAAUUAGUUGUUAACUCGGUGGAAUUUUCCUCGGACAACUAUAUUGUGGCGUGGGAACUACUACUAAAUAGGUUCAAUAACAACCGACUUUUAGUGCACAACCAUGUGAAGGCCUUGUUUAGCAUUGAUUCGUUGUCUAAAGAGUCGCCCGAUUCCCUUCGUAAACUUAUUGACACGAUACUUAAGAAUUUACGUGCACUUAAAAUCCUAGGCGAGCCUACCGAUCAGUGGGAUACGCUUAUUAACUACAUUAUAGUUUCCAAACUAGAUAAAACCACUGAGCGCGAGUGGGAGACACACAAAUGUUCACUGUUUCCGAGCGAUAAUAAUUCCAAACGCAUAAUUAAGGUUAAUGAGUUGAUUGGUUUCCUUAAAGACAGGGCGGAUAUGUUGGAAACCUUGCAGCUUUCACACAGCAAAGAACAAACUACUAGUACACUGAACGAAAAUAAAAAACAUAAAUCACAUUCACAUAAUACGUCACACUGCAAUGUUUCCACACACGUUAAGUCUAACGACAGUCGCACGCCUCGCUUUAAAAGGUCUUGUUUAAAAUGCAACGGCGCUCAUCCACUUUAUUCUUGCCAACAGUUUAUCGAUAGUGACUUAGACGCUAAAUUGAAAUUAAUUCGCGAUCACAAACUUUGUGAGAAUUGUUUACGUUCGGGACAUGCGCCUGAUAAGUGUAUGUUUGGGCCAUGUAGGAAGUGCAACCGUAAACAUAACUCAUUAAUUCAUAAUGACAGUAGCGAUGGUCUAGUCUCGCUCCAUUCGCAUAUUGUGACUAAUGAUCCUAACGCCAGUGGUGCAAGCGCAGGGCCGAGCGUCCCCGCUCCCUCGACUGGUAAACCGGUUCCUAUUCUCGUAAACAACUCACAUACGCAUAAUAAUAAAUAUAUAGAUGUGCACUCCGUGUUAUUGUCAACCGCAUUAGUCGAGGUAGCCGACGUUCACGGUGUUUAUCAUCAAGCUUGCGCGCUUCUUGACAGUGGUAGUCAGAGAUGCUUCAUAACUAAAUCGUUUUGCAAUAUACUUAACGUUACUACGUCACUGUCUAAUUACGAAGUUAGGGGUGUCGGUGAUUCAUUGUUACAAUGUUCGGAAACUUGUAGCGUUGAAGUUAAAUCGCGAGUCAAUAAUGAAUUCAAAACACGCAUAACUUGUUUUGUAUUGUCACAAAUAACUUCAACGAUGCCGGCCUUAUGUCAAAUAAACGCGCAGUUCUGUAUUCCAGACAACAUAAGACUAGCCGAUCCGUUAUUUUUUGAUUCUAAAAGUAUCGAUAUACUUAUAGGCGCAGAUAGGUUCUGGGACUUGUUAGCGGAAGGCAAAAUGAGGCUUCCCACCGGGCCUUAUCUGCAGAAUACCAAGUUAGGGUGGAUUAUUUCUGGCUCUGUUUACAAUACGCGAAAUGCAGGUCGUAUUCACUGUAACUUGAGUCAUUCGUUAGAUUCGCAACUACGCUUAUUUUGGGAGCUUGAGGAGCUGCCCAAACUCAGGGACACGCAGACUCAGGAAGAACGUAUGUGUGAGGACCAUUUCAUUCACACUACUACGCGUGAUAGUGAGGGACGGUUUCAUGUACGCAUUCCGUUUAAAGAGUCACCUGAUGUUUUAGGCGAAUCGUAUACGCAAGCUGAACGUAGAUUUUACGCCUUAGAAAAACGUUUACAGCGAUCUCCUGAUUAUAAAUUGUUAUAUACAAAUUUCAUGCAGGAAUACCUGGACUUAGGCCAUAUGAGUCCAGUUAGCAGCUAUGAACAUCCGUGCUAUUUCAUGCCGCAUCACGGCGUGUUUAGGGAGCACAGCACUACAACGAAGUUACGCGUCGUCUUCGAUGCUAGUGCUGCCUCGACAUCAGGUAAGUCACUCAACGACUUGCAAUUAGUUGGACCACCGAUACAAGGUGAUUUGGUAUCUAUUCUUGUACGUUUUCGGCAGCACAAGUUUGUCGUGUGUGCAGACGUUCAGAAAAUGUUUAGAAAUUGCUGGGUAGCAGAAGACCAACGCAAGUUGCAAAUGAUUUUGUGGCGUAAUGAUCCAUCGUUACCAUUGGGAGUAUAUCAAUUGAACACCGUUACCUACGGAACCGCAUCCGCACCGUUUCUUAGCGUUAGGUGUUUGAAACAGCUAGGUAUCGAAUCUUCUGACCCUGAAAUUCGGAGGGUAGUUACAGAAGAUUUUUACGUAGAUGAUUUGUUGACUGGCAAUGAUGACAGGCUUGUUUUACUGCAGUUAUGUAAGAAUAUUCAAAGCACAUUACAAGCGGGUUGUUUCCCCCUUCGCAAAUGGGUUUACAAUUUUCCAUGUCCCGAUACCGACUUAUUAGUAGAUAGUUCUAUCGAAAUAAAAUCUAACGAAAAUAUUAGCACUAAAACAUUAGGGUUAAGCUGGAAUAAUGUUGAUGAUACGUUUUAUUUUAACACUCAGAUUACUGCCAAUGAUAAACCUGUUACUAAAAGGUGUAUAUUAUCAAGCAUUUCACAAAUUUUCGAUCCACUUGGUUUGUUAAGUCCAACGAUUAUUAUCGCCAAGGUAUUGUUGCAGCAAUUAUGGCUUCUUAAAAUCGGUUGGGAUGACAUAGUUCCAUCUAAUGUCGCGCGGACGUGGAACCGGUUUGUUAUCUCUUUAGAAGCGCUCGACGCAAUCCGUGUUCCUCGCCACGCUAUAGGUAGUGAGCCUAUGUUUAUAGAAUUGCAUGUAUUUAGUGAUGCCUCACAGACAGCGUACGGCGCAUGCAUAUAUAUUCGUACAGUAAAUAAGGAUAACACAGUUACAGUUAGGCUUCUUUUCGCAAAGUCUAAGGUUGCGCCACUGAAACCUAUUAGUAUACCGCGUCUAGAGCUUUGCGGUGCUUUACUAGGUGCUAAAAUACUAGAUAAGGACGGUGGAGAUUCAUGAACUCACACAAGAUGUCCAGUGGCGCCACGUGAGGACUAAGGAGAAUCCGGCUGAUCUGGCUUCACGAGGUUCGAAGGUGCGGACAAAGUGGACCGACAACAAGGCC